CAGCAGCCGCGGUAAUACGGAGGGGGCUAGCGUUGUUCGGAAUUACUGGGCGUAAAGCGCGCGCAGGCGGAUUAUAAAGUAUGGGGUGAAAUCCCAGGGCUCAACCCUGGAACUGCCUCAUAAACUCCUAGUCUUGAGUUCUGGAGAGGUAAGUGGAAUUCCUAGUGUAGAGGUGAAAUUCGUAGAUAUUAGGAGGAACACCAGAGGCGAAGGCGGCUUACUGGACAGAUACUGACGCUGAGGCACGAAAGUGUGGGGAGCAAACAGGAUUAGAUACCCUGGUAGUCCACACCGUAAACGAUGAGAGCUAGUUGUCUGCAAGCAUGCUUGUAGGUGACGCAGCUAACGCAUUAAGCUCUCCGCCUGGGGAGUACGGCCGCAAGAUUAAAACUCAAAGAAAUUGACCGGGGCCCGCACAAGCCGUGGAGCAUGUUGUUUAAUUCGAAGCAACGCGCAGAACCUUACCUACCCUUGACAUGCCGGUCGAGUUUUCCAGAGAUGGAUUACGUCAACUCGGUUGGACCGUGCACAGGUGCUGCAUGGCUGUCGUCAGCUCGUGUCGUGAGAUGUUGGGUUAAGUCCCGCAACGAGCGCAACCCUCACUUUUAGUUGCCAGCAUUUAGUUGGGCACUCUAGAAGAACUGCCGGUGCUAAGCCGGAGGAAGGUGGGGAUGACGUCAAGUCCUCAUGGCCCUUACGGGUAGGGCUACACACGUGCUACAAUGGCGCUGACAGAGGGUUAAUCCCUAAAAGGCGUCUCAGUUCGGAUUGUCUUCUGCAACUCGAAGACAUGAAGUUGGAAUCGCUAGUAAUCGUGGAUCAGCAUGCCACGGUGAAUACGUUCCCGGGCCUUGUACACACCGCCCGUCACACCAUGGGAGUUGGUUCUACCCGAAGGCGCUGCGCUAACCAGUUUACUGGAGGCAGCCAGCCACGGUAGGAUCAGCGACUGGGGUGAAGUCGUAACAAGGUAGCCGUA
rnacentral:rRNA from 1 species